UACGAAGGGGGCGAGCGUUGUUCGGAAUUACUGGGCGUAAAGGGCGCGUAGGCGGCCGUUCAAGUCAGAUGUGAAAGUCCUGGGCUUAACCUGGGGACUGCAUUUGAUACUGAUUGGCUUGAAUUCGGGAGAGGAUAGCGGAAUUCCCAGUGUAGAGGUGAAAUUCGUAGAUAUUGGGAAGAACACCAGUGGCGAAAGCGGCUCACUGGCUCGUAACUGACGCUCAGGCGCGACAGCGUGGGGAUCAAACAGG
rnacentral:rRNA from 1 species